rnacentral:rRNA from 1 species
UACGUAGGGUGCAAGCGUUGUCCGGAUUUAUUGGGCGUAAAGAGCUCGUAGGCGGCUUAGAAAGUCAGGUGUGAAACCUCCAGGCUCAACCUGGAGACGCCACUUGAUACUUCUAUGGCUUGAGUUCGGUAGGGGUAAGCGGAAUUCCUGGUGUAGCGGUGAAAUGCGUUGAUAUCGAUAGGAACUCCGGUGGCGAAGGCGGCAUACUGGACCACCUCUGACGCUGAGGCGCGAAAGCCAGGGGAGCAAACGGG